CGGGACGGGUGAGUAAUGUCUGGGAAACUGCCUGAUGGAGGGGGGUAACUACUGAAAACGGUAGCUAAUACCGCAUAACGUCGCAAGACCAAAGAGGGGGACCUUCGGGCCUCUUGCCAUCGGAUGUGCCCAGAUGGGAUUAGCUAGUAGGUGGGGUAACGGCUCACCUAGGCGACGAUCCCUAGCUGGUCUGAGAGGAUGACCAGCCACACUGGAACUGAGACACGGUCCAG
rnacentral:rRNA from 1 species